UACGGGGGGGGCAAGCGUUGUUCGGAAUUACUGGGCGUAAAGAGCGCGCAGGCGGUCGUUCAAGUCGAGUGUGAAAGCCCCCGGCUCAACUGGGGAGGGUCAUUCGAUACUGAUCGACUCGAAGGCAGGAGAGGGAAGUGGAAUUCCCGGUGUAGUGGUGAAAUGCGUAGAUAUCGGGAGGAACACCGGUGGCGAAGGCGGUUCUCUGGGCAUGUCCUGACGCUGAGGAGCGAAAGUGUGGGGAGCGAACAGG
rnacentral:rRNA from 1 species